GGUGAACGCUGGCGGCGUGCUUAAGACAUGCAAGUCGAACGCGGUCUUCGGACCGAGUGGCGCACGGGUGAGUAACACGUAACUGACCUACCCGGAAGUCAUGAAUAACUGGCCGAAAGGUCAGCUAAUACGUGAUGUGGUGAUUUGCCGUGGCAAAUCACUAAAGAUUUAUCGCUUCUGGAUGGGGUUGCGUUCCAUCAGCUGGUUGGUGGGGUAAAGGCCUACCAAGGCGACGACGGAUAGCCGGCCUGAGAGGGUGGCCGGCCACAGGGGCACUGAGACCCGGGUCCCACUCCUACGGGAGGCAGCAGUUAGGAAUCUUCCACAAUGGGCGCAAGCCUGAUGGAGCGACGCCGCGUGAGGGAUGAAGGUUUUCGGAUCGUAAACCUCUGAAUCUGGGACGAAAGAGCCUUCGGGCAGAUGACGGUACCAGAGUAAUAGCACCGGCUAACUCCGUGCCAGCAGCCGCAGUAAUAC
rnacentral:rRNA from 1 species